rnacentral:tRNA from 1 species
GGUCUUAUAGCUCAGUGGUAGAGCGUUCGCCUGCAGUCUGGCUUCUUCGGCUUACAGGCUUUAGCGAACGGUCACGUGUUCAACUCACGUUGAGACCU